GAUCGAAUGAGGAGAUUCAUCGUCAGCGUAUUCAGUAUUGAUGCAGGCUAUGAUGUGAUAAUAGAAUCCUCGUGGUCACUAGAUUAUACUUGCUUGUAUCAUUUAUGCUGGGUAUGUCGGCGUGCACUUCUCCUCUAGUAGAACGUCGCAACCCGUUGGAUGUUUAUCUAUGGCUUGAAUGGUAGCCUUUGAUAUAUUUUAUAUUGAAGACCUUUGUUGUUCCUGAUAAACUGUCCRACGGUAUACAUAAAGUCUGCUGUUAGCUUGGUAAUGUCUUUAACUGGCUUAUUUACCGGUUAGCGAUGCUACUGCUUUGGGUACUUACAGGACCCGUCUUGAAACACGGACCAAGGAGUCUAACAUGUGCGCGAGUCAUUGGGAUAUAUUUAUAUAACUCAAACCUAAAGGCGUAAUGAAAGUAUAGAUUGUCUUAAGACAAUUGAGGGAAGAUGGGUUGCGUUACGAUGUAAUCCCGCAUUCCCGGGACGUUCCAU
rnacentral:rRNA from 1 species